UACGUAGGGUGCAAGCGUUGUCCGGAAUUAUUGGGCGUAAAGAGCUCGUAGGCGGUCUGUUACGUCGGCUGUGAAAACCUGGGGCUCAACCCCGGGCCUGCAGCCGAUACGGGCAGACUAGAAUUCGGUAGGGGAGACUGGAAUUCCUGGUGUAGCGGUGGAAUGCGCAGAUAUCAGGAGGAACACCGGUGGCGAAGGCGGAUCUCUGGGCCGACAUUGACGCUGAGGAGCGAAAGCGUGGGGAGCGAACAGG
rnacentral:rRNA from 1 species